rnacentral:rRNA from 1 species
UACGUAGGUGGCAAGCGUUGUCCGGAUUUACUGGGCGUAAAGAGCGCGCAGGCGGUCGAUCAAGUCGAGUGUGAAAGCCCCCGGCUCAACUGGGGAGGGUCAUUCGAUACUGAUCGACUCGAAGGCAGGAGAGGGUAGUGGAAUUCCCGGUGUAGUGGUGAAAUGCGUAGAUAUCGGGAGGAACACCAGUGGCGAAGGCGACUACCUGGCCUGUUCUUGGCGCUGAGGCGCGAAAGCUAGGGGAGCAAACGGG